CCAUCGCAUACAACCUCGCCGCCGCUGUGAGCCUCCGGUCCGCCGCGCUUCACCGUUGCUCUUAGUCUUUUUUCCGGUCGCCGCCUCCCCUCUUCGAAGGCCGGUUGAGGUCACCCGACAAGUUAAACACUUCGAAGAGAACCAUUCCGUUCGAUUUCUCGCUUAAUUAGUCGGGCAGAGAAGCUUGAAGGUGAUCUAUCAAGGUCGCCGCCGUCGACUGGAAUUUCAUAAUUUCCUCCGCACAUGGGUACGCCUAUGAUAUUAU